ensembl:misc_RNA 7SK 7SK RNA
GGAUGUGAGGGUGAUCUGGCUGUGACAUCUGUCACCCCAUUGAUCACCAGGGUUGAUUCGGCUGAUUUGGCUGCACAGGCAAGUGUCCCCUUCCUCCCUCACCACUCCAUGUGCAUCCCUCAUGAAGCUGCAUGCUUUGUCGAAGAGGAAGACCUUCCCGGAAUAGAGGAGGACUGGUUUUUGGUCAAGGCUAUAUGAGUAGCUGCACUCUCCUGCCAGAACCUCCAAACAUGCUCUCAAGGUCCAAAAGUGAUUGAAAUCUUUUGAGGUGUUAUUUCCUUUUGCACUUUGUCUCCUCAGUAAAAAGGAACAGUGGUCC